CUCUAUUCUAUGCUCUCUAUAGAAUUCAUGAAGUCGAGCACCACUGAACUAUCUGUCGUUGUCCGUAAUUAGUACUUUGAAAAGAUCAUAGCGGUUGAUGAUGGAUUUUCAGAUAAAAUCCUUUACUCUUGCCUUGAUUAUACGGACUAGAGGCUCGACUUUGAUUCAUUUUAUAAAAUAGUCGAUGGCCACCACAAAAAAUUUGUGCUGACCUGAUAUGAGAGGAAAAAGGCCAAGGAUAUCCAUCCCCCACUGAGCAAAUGGCCACAGGGCACUGAUGGAAGUCAAAAGUGUUGCUGGCUAUUGCUGAAUGUUGGAAAUUCUAUGGCAC
rnacentral:lncRNA from 1 species